AUUGAACGCUAGCGGGAUGCCUUACACAUGCAAGUCGAACGGAGUGGCGAACGGGUGAGUAAUGUAUCGGAACGUGCCCAGUAGCGGGGGAUAACUACGCGAACGCGUAGCUAAUACCGCAUACUAUUGGAGCGGCCGAUAUGGGAUUAGCUAGUUGGUGGUGUAACGGCUCACCAAGGCGACGAUCCGUAGCUGGUUUGAGAGGACGACCAGACAGACUGAGACUGAGACACGGCCCAGACUCCUACGGGAGGCAGCAGUGGGGAAUUUUGGACAAUGGGGGAAACCCUGAUCGAGCCAUCCAGCGUGUGCGAUGAAGGCCUUCGAGUUGUAAAGCACUUGUGGAAGGAAAGCGGUACCUGCAGAAUAAGCACCGGCUAAAUACGUGCCAGAAGCCGCGGUUAUUC
rnacentral:rRNA from 1 species